rnacentral:rRNA from 1 species
AUGCAAGUCGAACGCGAAAGUCCCCUUCGGGGGGCAAGUAGAGUGGCGCACGGGUGAGUAACACGUAGGUAAUCUACCUUUGGAUGGGGAAUAACAACCGGAAACGGUUGCUAAUACCGCAUAAUGCAGCGGCACCUAAUGGUGACAGUUGUUAAAGCGGGGGAUCGAAAGACCUCGCGUCUGAAGAGGAGCCUGCGGCGGAUUAGCUAGUUGGUAAGGUAACGGCUUACCAAGGCUAUGAUCCGUAGCCGGCCUGAGAGGGCGGUCGGCCACACUGACACUGACAUACGGGUCAGACUCCUACGGGAGGCAGCAGUCGGGAAUUUUGGGCAAUGGGCGCAAGCCUGACCCAGCAACGCCGCGUGAAGGAUGAAAUCCUUCGGGAUGUAGACUUCGCAAGAACAGGAAGAAUAAGUAAGGGUUAAUAUCUCUUACGAUGACGGUACUGUUUGUAAGCUCCGGCUAACUCCGUGCCAGCAGCCGCGGUAAUACGGGGGGAGCAAGCGUUGUUCGGAUUUACUGGGCGUAAAGGGCGCGUAGGCGGCCACCGCAAGUCGACUGUGAAAUCUCCGGGCUUAACCCGGAAAGGUCAGCCGAUACUGCGGGGCUAGAGUGCAGAAGGGGCAACUGGAAUUCUCGGUGUAGCGGUGAAAUGCGUAGAUAUCGAGAGGAACACCUGCGGCGAAAGCGGGUUGCUGGGCUGACACUGACGCUGAAGCGCGAAAGCUAGGGGAGCGAACGGGAUUAGAUACCCCGGUAGUCCUAGCCUUAAACGAUGAAUGCUUGGUGUC